GGCGACGUGGGUGAGCGGUUAAAACCAGGGUCUGCAAAACCUUUUUUCAUCGCAAGUUCGAAUCUUGCCGUCGCCGCCG
rnacentral:tRNA from 1 species